UACGUAGGGGGCAAGCGUUGUCCGGAUUCAUUGGGCGUCAAGAGCGUGUAGGCGGCCAGGUAGGUCGGUUGUGAAAACUGGAGGCUCAACCUUCAGAGGUCGACCGAAACCAUCUGGCUAGAGUCCGGGAGAGGAGAGUGGAAUUCCUGGUGUAGCGGUGAAAUGCGCAGAUAUCAGGAAGAACACCCGUGGCGAAAGCGGCUCUCUGGAACGGUACUGACGCUGAGACGCGAAAGCGUGGGGAGCGAACAGG
rnacentral:rRNA from 1 species